rnacentral:sRNA from 17 species
AACGUAUCGGAAGGAGGUGAUCCAGUGUCUCAUUGUCAUUUGCUGCGGGCCCGGACCUGGACUCGCGCCAGUGAGGUUUUCGCCUCCUAGGCGUCAGGUUCGCGGAAACGCGGUCCGACAAUGGAAGGGUCGUCCGGGAAGGGCGGCCC